GGAUCAGGUACCCUAACGUUGAUGGCAAUUACGUUUGUUUUUCCCCUGCUCUUGAUCUCGGUAUGCGUGAUGGCCAUUUGAAAGGAUAGAAAGUGCCACCAUUCCAGUCUCAGGUGAGGAAGUGGAAUGUGCUAGUCACGACCGGAAUGGGAAGAAUCUAAGUCAUGCAAUCUAUAAACCUUCCCCUGCAGCUGUUGUUUGUCAUCUCUGGGGUGAGAUGAACACCAGAAUUUGGGGGGUAAAUGCUUGGAUAUGGCUUGCUUGAAAACUCUAAUUGAAAGGGAUGUUAGAGCUGCAGAUUGCUGUUGUUUGUUCAUGGAGGGGAGUGAAGAGGACUUAUCAAAAUAAACUAAUCAUUUGAGAUUGGCCCAUUCCACAAUGCAUCUUUGUUCAUAA